rnacentral:lncRNA from 1 species
AAAUUAACAUGAAUUUAAUAAAUAGAGCCUUUAAUACAUGUUUAAUAGCAUUAGUCAAUUUUUAGAUAAUAUUAACCAUAUUAACUUGUCAAAUGAGAAAGUAAAUAUGUAGCUUCGGUUGGUUUCGUCCAAAACUGACCAAACCGAAAAUUUCAGUCAAUUUCGGAUCGAUUUCGGUUGAACUUCAAACCUUGAUCAUAAGUAGAUAUAGAGAAACAUAAUAAGCAUUAAAUGAUGCAACUCUAAUGCUAAAUGGUCCAUCACAUUAGACAAUGCUUAAAGAAAGAUGUUCACACUUAUCUUCUAAUCUUUGAACAUAAAGAUGAUUUUUCAACAGACUAAAAGCUACCAUGAGCCUUGUUAAUUAACUAAAGAAGAUAUGGGUCUAAGACUGCAAAAGUAUCAUGGUUCAUCUUGUAGCACAUAAGAUGGGAUCGUUCUUGUUGAGAAGAAAACUAAAUAAGGACAUGUAUAUCUUGCUCGAAAAAUUCCAUUAACUAUAACAAGAUGGUAAGAUACUAUUACAUAGAACAAAAUUGAUAUCUAUGUGGUUAGGUGAGUCAUUGUAAGGCAAGCAUGUCAGACGAACAGAAAAGAGUUUAAGAAUAGAUUAACAUAUAAUCAUGGAUUCCAUUCAAGUGCUUAUCCUUACAAGUUUUGGUGUUAUUAUAUUUUAAUCAAUGUAGAGGUGCUAUUGUUAUUAGAUGCGAACAGACAGUAGGUGUAAGAGAACAACUAUGCUUAAGCAGUAAGGACAGUUAUGACAGGCUUCAUUACCUUCCGACGGCAUGUCCAAAGCAAUCCCAGAGCCCUGAAUAGAGAAGAUUUGGACAGCAUGUGCCAACAUGAGGCUAUACGAUUCUACAGUGAACACCUCUGAGAACAAUGGUGACCACUGACCAGCAUGAUGAUGGCAGCAAAGAGGAUAAUUCUUGAUAUGCAGAGUUGCCAGAGCUUUUUGGUGUCUAUAGCCGCUUGAUGAUAGGCACUGUUGCCCUAGAAAGCAUGCAUUAUCUUGUACCUGACCAAAAUUAAUUUAUUUAUUCCUUGGCAACUACCCACCCAAUAUGCUGGCCAAUUCAACACAAUCUAGAAGAUAUUACCCCCGAGUCUAGACUCUAAUUUGGUUCAAUCAAUCAAUCUUCUAAAUUGGAACUCAGCAAUGCAAGUAAAGAACUGUUGCAUAUGUAACAAAUUAGCAAAGAUUUGCCUAGGAUGUAUGAGAAACAUGUAGCCAGUAGGAAAAGAAUUAAAACCUAUAUAUCUGGCAAAAGUGCCUGAAAAUUAAUAAUGCCUGAAACCAGUAGCCUUGCCUUCCAAACUUCAAUGACAAUUCCCUUAAACAGGCAGAGGAGUACUACCUAAAACCAAGAUUAAUGAGCAUUAGUUUUUCAUCCCAACAACUCUCUAUGGGAAGUACCCAAACACAAUAAAUUUACACCAAGAAACACCAUAGUCAACUCUUGUUCCAUAUGAAUGGAAUAUCAUAAAUAAUAAUGGCAAACUCACCAGUGCUAACAAUAUGACAAAAUAAUAUGAGACAUGGAUAGGAUCAAGUCUGAUGAUUUAGAGCAUGAAAGGUCAAGGUUUAGUCAUUAAAAAACCAUAUCUAGGUCUAAACUCUAAUUGUUUUCAAGUAAUCAGUACAAAUUACUGGAACCGGGAAGGUUAAAUCAUUGAGAUGAUUUGUUUACACCAAUAUAAUGUUGAUGAUAACUUCUAAAAAUAACACACUUCUUUGCAUACGAUGCACAAGAAUUGAAUGGGAAUCAACUUUCUUGGCAUCUGAUUGCCACGCAAAUAAUUACUAAAAUGAUAGAAAGACUGACUACCAUAUUUCACAAGAUCAAAAAUGAUAUUCAUAAUGAAAAAAAAGAAACUAC